rnacentral:rRNA from 1 species
GAUGAACGCUGGCGGCGUGCCUAAUACAUGCAAGUCGAGCGAACAGAUGAGGAGCUUGCUCCUCUGACGUUAGCGGCGGACGGGUGAGUAACACGUGGAUAACCUACCUAUAAGACUGGGAUAACUUCGGGAAACCGGAGCUAAUACCGGAUAAUAUAUUGAACCGCAUGGUUCAAUAGUGAAAGACGGUUUUGCUGUCACUUAUAGAUGGAUCCGCGCCGCAUUAGCUAGUUGGUAAGGUAACGGCUUACCAAGGCAACGAUGCGUAGCCGACCUGAGAGGGUGAUAGGCCAAACUGGAACUGAGACACGGUCCAGACUCCUACGGGAGGCAGCAGUAGGGAAUCUUCCGCAAUGGGCGAAAGCUUGACGGAGAAACGCCGCGUGAGUGAUGAAGGUCUUCGGAUCGUAAAACUCUGUUAUUAGGGAAGAACAAAUGUGUAAGUAACUAUGCACGUCUUGACGGUACCUAAUCAGAAAGCCACGGCUAACUACGUG